UUUCCGGGUGGGCGGCCCCCUGCCUCCCGCCGUCUGCGUCAAACUGUCGCAUUCAACACACGGUCGCCCCCACCCUGCCACCAGGGACCAUCCGUACACGACCGACAACUCCAAGACUACAGCGGUCUGUGCUUCUGUACACGACACCAACUACCUACAUCGAUGACAUCACCAUCACCACUGGUGUGGAGUGAGACAGAGGUGAGAGCUUCUGGUAGGAUCCUCCCUCAGCGGGGCCCAGGGUGGCUCUGUUUGUUACCUGUUUGGAAAGCUCUCCCAGGAAAAAGGUUCUUCCAGCAUCUCUAAACCUUCACAGGUUCCCAUCCACCUACGAAGCUAAAAUCCAGGCUGUCUGAGCGGGCACGGGCUCCCGAGAUCACUCAUGUGGUUGAUCUUGCUUGGAGAAGAGGGGUCUGGCCUAACGUCACAUAGCUCAGGGUGGCAGCCCUGUCCCUUCCCCACGGUGCUGCUCUCACUCUAGCUCCCCUUGCUACACGUCGUGCUCAAGGAACAGGCAGCUUCAGGGGGCCGGGUGCGGUGGCUCACGCCUGUCAUCCCAGCUCUUUGUAAAGGAGGACUUGGUAGGAGGAUCACUUCAGGCCAAGAGUUCAAGACCAGGCUGGGCAACAUAGCAAGACCAUCAGCACAAAAAAUUUAAAAAUUCUCCAGUCAUGGUGAUGUGUGCUGGUAGUCCCAGCUACUGAGGCAGGAGAAUCAGUUGAGCCUGGGAGGUCAAGGGUGCAGUGAGCUGUGACCGCGUCACUGCACUCUGGUCUGGGCAACAGAGGGAGACCCUGUCUUUUUUGUUUGUAUUUGUUUUUGAGCUGGAGUCUCACUCUGUAGGAGCCCAGACUGGAGGGCACUAGUGCACUCUUGGGCUCACUGCAACCUCCACCUCCCAAGUUCAAGUGAUUCUCCUCCCUCAGCCUCCCUAGUAGCAGGGAUUACAGGCACCUUCCACCAUGUCCAGCCAAUUUUUGUGGUUUUUGUUUAGUAGAGACGGGGUUUCACCAUGUAGGCCUGGGUUGGUCUUGAACUCCUGACCUCAGGUGACUCACCUGCCUCGGCCUCCCAAAGUGCAAGGAUUACAGGUGUGAGCUACCGUGCAUGACUGGGAUAUCUUGUUUUUAAGAAAAAAAUAUAUAUUUAUUUAUUUAUUUAUUUUUAAUAUAUCUUUUUCCUUUUGUGAGAUGAGGCCUUACACUGUCAACCAGGCUGGAUGGCAGUGGUACAAUGAUUGACAGCUGUUGUGGGGCCGCAGUUGUCAGUUUCAAAGAAUUUAGGCUGGGUGUGGUGGCUAAUGCCUGUCAUCCCAGCACUUUGGGAGGCCACGGUGGGCGGAUCGCUUGAGCUCAAAGGUUAGAGACCAGCCUGGGCAACAUAGUGAGACCCUGUUUCAAAAAGAAGAAAUAAUUAAAAUAAAUAAAGAAUUUAAAUAAGAAUCACACAGCAAAGGUGAUGCAGCAUAGAGCAAUUUAUUGUAAAGGGAAAAAUAUUUUGCAAGUGAAGUGCAGAAUAGCCCGGGCACAGUGGCUGACACCUGUAAUCCCAGCACUUUGGGAGGCUGAGGUGGGUGGAUGACCUCAGGCCAGGAGUUCUAGACCAGCCUGGCCAAUGUGGUGAAACCCCAUCUCAAACUGUCUCCAAAAAAAAAAAAAAAGUACACACCUGUAAUCCCAGCUACUAGGGAAGCUGAGGCAGGAGAAUUGUUUGAACCCAGGAGGCAGAGGUUGCAG
rnacentral:lncRNA from 10 species